CGAGCGAACGGACGAGAAGCUUGCUUCUCUGAUGUUAGCGGCGGACGGGUGAGUAACACGUGGAUAACCUACCUAUAAGACUGGGAUAACUUCGGGAAACCGGAGCUAAUACCGGAUAAUAUUUUGAACCGCAUGGUUCAAAAGUGAAAGACGGUCUUGCUGUCACUUAUAGAUGGAUCCGCGCUGCAUUAGCUAGUUGGUAAGGUAACGGCUUACCAAGGCAACGAUGCAUAGCCGACCUGAGAGGGUGAUCGGCCACACUGGAACUGAGACACGGUCCAGACUCCUACGGGAGGCAGCAGUAGGGAAUCUUCCGCAAUGGGCGAAAGCCUGACGGAGCAACGCCGCGUGAGUGAUGAAGGUCUUCGGAUCGUAAAACUCUGUUAUUAGGGAAGAACAUAUGUGUAAGUAACUGUGCACAUCUUGACGGUACCUAAUUAGAAAGCCACGGCUAACUACGUGCCAGCAGCCGCGGUAAUACGUAGGUGGCAAGCGUUAUCCGGAAUUAUUGGGCGUAAAGCGCGCGUAGGCGGUUUUUUAAGUCUGAUGUGAAAGCCCACGGCUCAACCGUGGAGGGUCAUUGGAAACUGGAAAACUUGAGUGCAGAAGAGGAAAGUGGAAUUCCAUGUGUAGCGGUGAAAUGCGCAGAGAUAUGGAGGAACACCAGUGGCGAAGGCGACUUUCUGGUCUGUAACUGACGCUGAUGUGCGAAAGCGUGGGGAUCAAACAGGAUUAGAUACCCUGGUAGUCCACGCCGUAAACGAUGAGUGCUAAGUGUUAGGGGGUUUCCGCCCCUUA
rnacentral:rRNA from 1 species